AUUGAACGCUGGCGGCAGGCCUAACACAUGCAAGUCUAGCGAGCGGCGGACGGGUGAGUAAUGUAUGGGGCCUGCCCGAUAGAUGGGGAUAACUACUGGAAACGGUAGCUAAUACCGCAUACUAUCGGAUAACCCAUAUGGGAUUAGCUAGUAGGUGAGGUAAUGGCUCACCUAGGCGACGAUCCCUAGCUGUUCUGAGAGGAUGUUCAGCGACACUGGGACUGAUAGACGGCCCAGACUCCUACGGAGGCAGAAGUGGGGAAGAUUGCACAAUGGGCGCAAGCAUGAUGCAGCCAUGCCGGGUGUAUGAAGAAGGCCCUAGGGUUGUAAAGUACUUUCAGUCGCGAGGCGUUACCGACAGAAGAAGCACCGGCUAACUCCGGGCCAGCAGCCGCGGUAAUUC
rnacentral:rRNA from 1 species